rfam:Salmo salar isolate Sally breed double haploid chromosome ssa23, whole genome shotgun sequence.
GGGAGAUACUACUGUAAGUCGCUCUGGAUUAGAGCGUCUGCUAAAUUACUAAAA